rnacentral:rRNA from 1 species
UACGUAGGGGGCUAGCGUUGUCCGGAAUCAUUGGGCGUAAAGGCGCGUGUAGGCGGCCCGGUAAGUCCGCUGUGAAAGUCGGGGGCUCAACCCUCGGAUGCCGGUGGAUACUGUCGGGCUAGAGUGCGGAAGAGGCGAGUGGAAUUCCUGGUGUAGCGGUGAAUGACGCAGAUAUCAGGAGGAACACCGGUGGCGAAGGCGGGUCUCUGGGCCGGAACUGACGCUGGAGGAGCGAAAGCGUGGGGAGCAAACAGG